NUCAGAAGCUAAGCAGGGUCGGGCCUGGUUAGUACUUGAAUGGGAGACGCCUGGGAAUACCAGGUGCUGUAGGCU
rnacentral:rRNA from 1 species